ACGAACGCUGGCGGCGUGCUUAACACAUGCAAGUCGAGCGGUAAGGCCCUUUCGGGGGUACACGAGCGGCGAACGGGUGAGUAACACGUGGGUGACCUGCCCUCAGCUCUGGGAUAAGCCUGGGAAACUGGGUCUAAUACUGGAUAUGACUCCACGGUGCAUGUCGUGGGGUGGAAAGCCUUGUGCGGCUGAGGAUGGGCCCGCGGCCUAUCAGCUUGUUGGUGGGGUGAGGCCUACCAAGGCGACGACGGGUAGCCGGCCUGAGAGGGCGACCGGCCACACUGGGACUGAGACACGGCCCAGACUCCUACGGGAGGCAGCAGUGGGGAAUCUUGCGCAAUGGGCGAAAGCCUGACGCAGCGACGCCGCGUGAGGGAUGACGGCC
rnacentral:rRNA from 1 species